rnacentral:rRNA from 1 species
AGUGAACGCUGGCGGUAGGCUUAACACAUGCAAGUCGAACGGCAGCACAGUAAGAGCUUGCUCUUACGGGUGGCGAGUGGCGGACGGGUGAGGAAUACAUCGGAAUCUACUUUUUCGUGGGGGAUAACGUAGGGAAACUUACGCUAAUACCGCAUACGACCUACGGGUGAAAGCAGGGGAUCUUCGGACCUUGCGCGAUUGAAUGAGCCGAUGUCGGAUUAGCUAGUUGGCGGGGUAAAGGCCCACCAAGGCGACGAUCCGUAGCUGGUCUGAGAGGAUGGUCAGCCGCAAUGGAACUGAGACGCGGUCCAGACUACUACGGGAGGCAGCAGUGGGGAAUAUUGGACAAUGGGCGCAAGCCUGUUGCAGCCAUGCCGCGUGGGUGAAGAAGGCCUUCGGGUUGUAAAGCCCUUUUGUUGGGAAAGAAAAGCAGCAGGUUAAUACCGCGCUGUUCUGACGGUACCCGGAGAAUAAGCACCGGCUAACUUCGUG